GAUGAACGCUGGCGGCGUGCCUAAUACAUGCAAGUCGAGCGAAGAGGGCACGGGUGAGUAACAAGUGGGUGAAAUCCUAUCAGACUGGGGUAAAUUCGUGAAACCGGAACUAAUCCGGAUAAUUAUAGAGGGAUCUACGCGCCAUUAGCUAGUUGGUAAGGUAACGGCUUACCAAGGCAACGAUGCAUAGACGGCCUGAGAGGGGGAUCGGUCACACUGGAACUGAGACACGGUCCAGACUCCUACGGGAGGCAGCAGUAGGGAAUCUUCCGCAAGGGGCGAAAGCCUGACAGAGCAACGCCGCGUGAGUGAUGAAGGUCUUCGGAUCGUAAAGCUCUGUUAUUAGGGAAGCGGUACCUAAUCAGAAAGCCACGGCUAACUACGUGCCAGCAGCCGCGGUAAUAC
rnacentral:rRNA from 1 species